rnacentral:rRNA from 1 species
GUCCACGCCGUAAACGAUGAGUGCUAGACGUUGGGCGGUCACCGCUCAGUGUCGUAGCUAACGCGUUAAGCACUCCGCCUGGGGAGUACGGUCGCAAGAUUAAAACUCAAAGGAAUUGACGGGGGCCCGCACAAGCGGUGGAGCAUGUGGUUUAAUUCGACGCAACGCGAAGAACCUUACCAGGCCUUGACAUGGGGAGUAUGGAUUCCUGAAAGGGGAUCAUUCAGUUCGGCUGGCUCCCACACAGGUGCUGCAUGGCUGUCGU